AGAGUUUGAUCCUGGCUCAGAAUCAACGCUGGCGGCGUGCCUCAGACAUGCAAGUCGAACGCGAAAGCCCCCUUCGGGGGGCAAGUAGAGUGGCGCACGGGUGAGUAACACGUAGGUAAUCUACCUUUGGAUGGGGAAUAACAACCGGAAACGGUUGCUAAUACCGCAUAAUGCAGCGGCACCUAAUGGUGACAGUUGUUAAAGCGGGGGAUCGAAAGACCUCGCGUCUGAAGAGGAGCCUGCGGCGGAUUAGCUAGUUGGUAAGGUAACGGCUUACCAAGGCGAUGAUCCGUAGCCGGCCUGAGAGGGCGGUCGGCCACACUGACACUGACAUACGGGUCAGACUCCUACGGGAGGCAGCAGUCGGGAAUUUUGGGCAAUGGGCGAAAGCCUGACCCAGCAACGCCGCGUGAAGGAUGAAAUCCUUCGGGAUGUAAACUUCGCAAGAACGGGAAGAAUAAGUAAGGGUUAAUAUCUCUUACGAUGACGGUACCGUUUGUAAGCUCCGGCUAACUCCGUGCCAGCAGCCGCGGUAAUACGGGGGGAGCAAGCGUUGUUCGGAUUUACUGGGCGUAAAGGGCGCGUAGGCGGCCACCGCAAGUCGACUGUGAAAUCUCUGGGCUUAACCCAGAACGGUCAGCCGAUACUGCGGGGCUAGAGUGCAGAAGGGGCAACUGGAAUUCUCGGUGUAGCGGUGAAAUGCGUAGAUAUCGAGAGGAACACCUGCGGCGAAGGCGGGUUGCUGGGCUGACACUGACGCUGAGGCGCGAAAGCUAGGGGAGCGAACGGGAUUAGAUACCCUAGUAGUCC
rnacentral:rRNA from 1 species